GUGGGGAAUCUUCCGCAAUGGACGAAAGUCUGACGGAGCAACGCCGCGUGUGUGAAGAAGGUUUUCGGAUCGUAAAGCUCUUUCGUUAGGGACGAACGUGCUCUUUGUGAAUAAUGAGGAGUAAUGACGGUACCUAAAUAAGAAGCCACGGCUAACUACGUGCCAGCAGCCGCGGUAAUACGUAGGUGGCAAGCGUUGUCCGGAAUUAUUGGGCGUAAAGCGCGCGCAGGCGGGAUAUCAAGUCUGUCUUAAAAGUGCGAGGCUCAACCUCGUGAGGGGACAGAAACUGGUAUUCUUGAGUGUCGGAGAGGAAAGUGGAAUUCCAAGUGUAGCGGUGAAAUGCGUAGAGAUUUGGAAGAACACCAGUGGCGAAGGCGACUUUCUGGACGAUGUCUGACGCUGAGGCGCGAAAGCUAGGGGAGCGAACGGGAUUAGAAACCCUAGUAGUCC
rnacentral:rRNA from 1 species